UAGGGAAUCUUCCGCAAUGGGCGAAAGCCUGACGGAGCAACGCCGCGUGAGUGAUGAAGGUCUUCGGAUCGUAAAACUCUGUUAUUAGGGAAGAACAAAUGUGUAAGUAACUAUGCACGUCUUGACGGUACCUAAUCAGAAAGCCACGGCUAACUACGUGCCAGCAGCCGCGGUAAUACGUAGGUGGCAAGCGUUAUCCGGAAUUAUUGGGCGUAAAGCGCGCGUAGGCGGUUUUUUAAGUCUGAUGUGAAAGCCCACGGCUCAACCGUGGAGGGUCAUUGGAAACUGGAAAACUUGAGUGCAGAAGAGGAAAGUGGAAUUCCAGGGGUAGCGGUGAAAUGCGCAGAGAUAUGGAGGAACACCAGUGGCGAAGGCGACUUUCUGGUCUGUAACUGACGCUGAUGUGCGAAAGCGUGGGGAUCAAACAGG
rnacentral:rRNA from 1 species